CCGGCGCUCGUCCGAUCUGGGCAGGGUGCCAGGUAACGCCUGGGGGGGAAACCCACGACCAGUGCAACAGAGAGCAAACCGCCGAUGGCCCGCGCAAGCGGGAUCAGGUAAGGGUGAAAGGGUGCGGUAAGAGCGCACCGCGCGGCUGGUAACAGUCCGUGGCACGGUAAACUCCACCCGGAGCAAGGCCAAAUAGGGGUUCAUAAGGUACGGCCCGUACUGAACCCGGGUAGGCUGCUUGAGCCAGUGAGCGAUUGCUGGCCUAGAUGAAUGACUGUCCACGACAGAACCCGGCUUAUCGGUCAGUUUCACCU
rnacentral:RNase_P_RNA from 1 species